CCUAGACACCGUGGAAUGGAGAGAAUUCUGAGAGAUGGUGGCAAAAUCCAGAACCAUAUUUUCUGGUAACCAUUCAUUAACAUCAAAUAAAAUUAAGAAUUAAGUUCCUCAGUUGCACUAGCCACAUGCCAAGGGUUCAAUAACUACGUGUGGCUUCUGGCUACCAUAUUGGUCAACACAGACUUAUAGAGCUUUUCUAUUCUUACAGAAAGUUCUAUUAAAGAGAGCUAUUCUGGACAGAGGAAAAAAAUCAAUAGCUGGUCUAUGGAGAUGAGAUAGAUGGGGGAGACAAGGAAGUCAUCACCAGCAAGAGGACCAAUAUCCAAAAUGUGAGGAGUGAAGUCCAAAAAGGGUAUCUUCUGGACCCAAGGAUCAAAUCCACAACUCUUGUAUCUCCUGCACUGGUGGGCAGAUUCUUUUACCACUGUGCCACCUGGGAAACUGUAUAGAAGGAGUAAAACCAUCCAGUUUGGUGGAAGAAUGCCCAAGAAUUGAAUGGGAUAAUUUACUUACAAUGAGAUUAUACAUACAUGGUUACAUGCCGACCAUGAUGGUGCCUGUGAUUAGGUGAGCCAGUUUUUGUUUUCUUUUAACUUUCAUGACAAGGGAAAAGAGUUUGCUACACCUUCAUUUUAAAUAAAUGCUUGUUUAUUUCCUG
rnacentral:lncRNA from 1 species